GGAAAGGGCUGUGGCUCAGGGACAGAGCUGCUGCUUUGCAUGCAGAAGGUUCUGGGUUCGAUCCUCAACAUUUCCA